GGGCAGUCGGCUGGAGGCACUGCGGGGUCCCGGCCCGCUCGCUGUGGUGGAGGGCGGGCGGGCGGGCGGAGGAGGCGACGGGAACAACCAGCAGCAGCACCCGUCGUCCUCAGGGAGCCCGGGGGGGCUCACCUCCUUGCCCUGAGGGAGCCCAGGGGCGGUAUUAAGCACUGCUCACCUGCCUCCCUACCCUGGAGCCUCCUUUUGCUUGUCUUUCACGUGAACUCAAAGACCUUGAAACCUUGGACAUUAUACAGACCUGUAUCACAAAACAGUCUCUGUUCCAAACAGAUCUGAGUGUAAGGCUU
rnacentral:lncRNA from 1 species